UCAGCCUCAGAAGAAGCCUGCACCACUCGGUAAUGGGUUCUCUCCUUUUCUCCUUCAUAUUGUAGAUUUGGGUUCUUCUAAUUCUAGAUGUUUAAUAAAAUAAAAUUGUGUGGUCUCUUUGAUUUGUGGAUUUGUACGAAGGUAAUGUCGUUCCUUCAGUCGGUGGAGUCUGGUGUUAUUUGAGCUUGUAAGUGUCAAAUGGUGAGCACUCACUUUAUCUUAGCUCCUUACCUGCGAUCCAUUUGAUUAUUAGGUCUUUCCUUUCCCAUCCAAUGAUGCCCGGUCUAGUUCCAGAGAAGAAUACCUGUAAACACACAUAUCCAGUUCAUAUUUGCAAAAGUGAGUCAUGGUUUUGUCUUCAACCCUUCAUUUUGGUGAGUUUAGUUGUGUGUUUAAAACAUAUCUCAAUAGUUUGGCUGAUUUCCACCACUUAUGGUUACAUCGUCAUGAUAAUCCACUUCAUUUUGGUUAACUUUUUAUUGUGUUUGGUUUCUUUGUCUGCCUUAAAACUCUUACAUUAACUUCAUGAUAAUCUAUUUGUUUUUGCCUUACCCUUACGACUAGUUAAAAUGCUUGAAUUUGUCAAGUUUAGUCUGUGUCUUAAUUAUGGUUUGUUUGCUUUCAUAAUGAUAUGUUCUAGCUUAAAGUACGACAUCUCUUGGGAUUACUACUUGCUUAUUUGGCUCAUAAGCCUUACAAUUUGUUUCAGUGCUUGAAUUUGACAUGUUAAGUCUUUCUCUCACUUAUGGUUUUCUUGUUUUAGUAAUGACAUCUUGAGCUUUGAUUAUGUUUGGUUCAACUUUUCAUUUCUUUGCUUUCUAUACAUUCUUGCCUUACUUGUAACUUUGUUUUUAUCUUUUCAUUUUGUAGGUUUGGUCUUGAUGGUUCCGGUUCGAAACUGGAACGAAAGAUUUUAAAGUCGACUUCUUCUGCAUUUAUAGGAAUUUAAAAUAUUUCAAUUGUUGUAUUUCUAACUUUUGACUUUCAGAUUAAGUUCGAAGUUAAUAUAUAAAUUCUGAUUCCAAAACGAAUAUUAUAAUAAAUUUUUAUUUCUAAAUGAAUAUUUUUUUUAAACAAGAAAUUCAAAUUAAU
rnacentral:lncRNA from 1 species